AUUGAACGCUGGCGGCAGGCCUAACACAUGCAAGUCGAACGCGUGGCGGACGUGUGAGUAAUGUCUGGGAAACUGCCUGGUGGCGGGGGAUAACUACUGGAAACGGUAGCUACUACCGCAUACCAUCAGAUGUGCCCAGAUGGGCUUAGCUAGUUGGUGGGGUAACGUCUCACCAAGGCGACGAUCCCUAGCUGGUCUGAGAGGAUGCACAGCCACACUGGAACUGAGACACGGUCCAGAAUCCUACGGGAGGCAGCAGUGGGGAAUAUUGCACAAUGGGCGAAAGCCUGAUGCAGCCAGGCCGCGUGUUUGAAGAAGGCCUUCGGGUUGUAAAGUACUUUCAGCGGGGAGGCGUUACCCGCAGAAGAAGCACCGGCUAACUCCGUGCCAGCAGCCGCGGUAAUUC
rnacentral:rRNA from 1 species